AAUAGAUACCCGGGUAGUCCACCCCGUAAACGUUGGGAACUAGUUGUGGGGUCCAUUCCACGGAUUCCGUGACGCAGCUAACGCAUUAAGUUCCCCGCCUGGGGAGUACGGCCGCAAGGCUAAAACUCAAAGGAAUUGACGGGGACCCGCACAAGCGGCGGAGCAUGCGGAUUAAUUCGAUGCAACGCGAAGAACCUUACCAAGGCUUGACAUAUACGAGAACGGGCCAGAAAUGGUCAACUCUUUGGACACUCGUAAACAGGUGGUGCAUGGUUGUCGUCAGCUCGUGUCGUGAGAUGUUGGGUUAAGUCCCGCAACGAGCGCAACCCUCGUUCUAUGUUGCCAGCACGUAAUGGUGGGAACUCAUGGGAUACUGCCGGGGUCAACUCGGAGGAAGGUGGGGAUGACGUCAAAUCAUCAUGCCCCUUAUGUCUUGGGCUUCACGCAUGCUACAAUGGCCGGUACAAAGGGCUGCAAUACCGUGAGGUGGAGCGAAUCCCAAAAAGCCGGUCCCAGUUCGGAUUGAGGUCUGCAACUCGACCUCA
rnacentral:rRNA from 1 species